rnacentral:rRNA from 1 species
AUGAGCGGCGGCGGCAUCGAAUCGUCCUUCUCGGGGAGCUAUGGCGUGGGCGCGGCGGGGGUGGCGCCGUUCGUGGCCAAGACGUACGGGAUGGUGGACGACCGGGCCACCGACGCCGUCGUCGCCUGGGGGCCCGCCGGCAACAGCUUCGUCGUGGCCGACCCCUUCGCCUUCUCGCAGGCGCUCCUCCCGGCGCACUUCAAGCACGCCAACUUCUCCAGCUUCGUCCGGCAGCUCAACACCUACGGCUUCCGCAAGGUGGACCCGGACCGCUGGGAGUUCGCGCACGCCUCCUUCCUCCGCGGCCAGACGCACCUCCUGCGCCACAUCGUCCGGCGCCAGAGCGGCGGCAAGCGCGGCGGCAAGGACGGCAAGGAGGUCGGCGACGAGGAGGAGGAUGAGGAGAGCAGCAGCGCGGUGUUGGCGAUGGAGGUGGUCCGGCUGAGGGAGGAGCAGAGGGCCACCGAGCAGCGCGUGGCGGAGAUGUGGCGCCGGGUGCAGGACGCCGAGCGCCGGCCCAAGCUGAUGCUCGCCUUCCUCCUCAAGGUCGUCGGCGACCCCGACGUGCUGCGCCGCCUCGCCGGCAGCUCAGCCUCAGUUAGCGGCCUGGAUGAGGGCGCGGAGGAGGUCAAGAGGCCGCGGCUGCUCCUCGACGGGGACGGCGUGGGGGUGGACGGGCUGUUGUACCACCACGGCGGCAACCUGAACAUGGAGGAGGCCCUGGUGCCGGAGCCGAGCGUGGACAUGUACUACGCCGGAGGCGACGGGUUCGGCGGCGUGCAGGCGGACGGCGGGCCGCCGUACGCUUUCCACAUGGACAGCGGCUACUGA